rnacentral:ncRNA from 2 species
AAGAAAAAAGGAAAUGGUGUUCUUCCUUACCCAACCGCUCUAAAGAGCUGAUGACGCCUGAUUAAAU